rnacentral:rRNA from 1 species
GGAUGGCUUUUCCUGGCCUUUUAGGCGAGAUCGKUAGCUGGUCUGAGAGGAUGACCAGCCCACUGGAACUGAGAAAAAGUAAAGACUCCUACGGGAGGCAGCAGUGGGGAAUAUUSGACAAUAARGGGGAACCCUGAUCCAGCAAUGCCGCGUGUGUGAAGAASGCCUGAGGGUUGUAAAGCACUUUCCSUARGGAGGAGGGUUGAUWGGUUAAGAGCUAAUUAACUGGACGUUACCUACAGAARAAGCACCGGCUAACUCCGUGCCAGCAGCCGCGGUAAUACGGAGGGUGCGAGCGUUAAUCGGAAUUACUGGGCGUAAAGAGUGCSUACGUGGUUGAUUAAGUUAUCUGUGAAAUCCCUGGGCUUAACCUGGGCAKGUCARAUGAUACUGAUUGACUCGAYUAWGGGAKAGGGUAGUGGAAUUUCCGGUGUASCGGUGAAAUGCGWAGARAUCSGAAUGAACACCCGUGGCG